GGGUAGUACAGAGGGUUGCCAAGCCGUAAGGCGGAGCUAAUCCCUUAAAGCUACUCUCAGUUCGGAUUGUAGGCUGAAACUCGCCUACAUGAAGCUGGAGUUACUAGUAAUCGCAGAUCAGAAUGCUGCGGGGAAUGCGUUCCCGGGUCUUGUACACACCGCCCGUCACACCACGGGAGUUGGAGACGCCCGAAGCCGAUUAUCUAACCUUUUGGAAGAAGUCGUCGAAGGUGGAAUCAAUAACUGGGGUGAAGUCGUAACAAGGUAGCCGUAUCGGAAGGUGCGGCUGGAUCACCUCCUUUCUAAGGAGA
rnacentral:rRNA from 1 species